UCUACUAGGGUCAAUAUGCCUCUGCUGCACAAUCAUGAUAUAUAAUCAAUGUUGGGACCUCUACUAUCCCUAGGUUCAUGUCAAGUUUACUAUACUAGACUCGAUUCCACUCGUUCAGUCACUGUAGUAAAUGUCUCAACUAUUCUACAUGCCACUCGUUCAUGUCAUAGUGCUUCUACCACACUAGUUCAAUGCCACUCUACUAGGCUAUGUCCAAGUACAGCUCUUUAUGCAGCUAUAGGAUUCUAUGUCACAAGACUCAAUCCUCAUGCUAUCCUAGUUCACGUGUUAAGCUCACCCCGCUACACUACCAAGAAAGCAUGCAAGGAAAUGGAAAUGUACAACUACUAUUCCUAUAGCGCAAUAUGAUCAACAUAAUUAACUUAGACAUAAAAAGAAACCCGGUUGCUUCGGGAUGACACCCCCCACCUCUUGAGGAUAUGAAGGCUCUAGAAAUGCCCUCCAACGGACGUUACGACGAAGUCUUGGCCUUCUUGGUCCAAAAUGAUGCUCAAUUGGUCUUGUUUUGCUGAUAGCUCUUGACCCACUUGACGAAUACUAAAUCCGACUUCGCCCCCGUAUUUAGGCACCUACCAAUUAGGUUUACAAUGCCUCAAAUGAGAUCAAUCUAAUACUUUAUCAAAAACCCUCUUUUGGAGCCCUAGGGUUCCCAUCUUGCCAUUUGCAAUUUGGAACCCUAACUCUAGCUUCAAUCCACCAACAAUGGUGCUAGGGGUCUAUUUGACCCCAUUUCCAAAGCCCAAAACCCAAAAAUCCUAAGUUCCAUAAGCUAGGGUUUGGUAUCUUACCUCUUAGCUACACCAAGGAGAAGAGGAGAUGGAGGGGAAGAUGUCCAAGGUCUUCCUCUUGAUCUCCUUCUUCUUCUCCUUCCUUUCCUUCUCUUCCUUUCCUUCUUCUCUUUCUUGUUCUUCUUUUCUUUUCUUUCUAGAGAGAGAGAGGGAGAGAGAAAGAGUAUGAGAAGGUAAGGGUGAAAUGAAAGGAUGAGAGAGGGGAAGGGACCCAUAAGCCCUCUAUUAUAACAAUAUCCCAGUAGGCCCCUCACCUUUUCACCCUGUGCACUGCCCUUCACUGGGCAUUCUGCGCCCAGAGGGACCGGUCACCCCGACUUGGGACCAGUCCCUGAGAGCUUCAGCUCGGGUCACACGUUCGGGUACCGGUCUCUCCCAGAGAGACCGGUCCUCGAGAGACCGGUUCCUUCCUGAGAGACCGGUUCCCGAGAGCUGGGAUUUCAGGACUUAACCAAUUUUUUGGCUUUUCUCACUGGGAUCACGUUCGGGGACCGGUCUCUCCCUACCAAGGACCGGUUGCAUCAAAGAUCCCCGCAACCCCAACCAAUGGGACUGGUCCCUCCCUACCAGGGACCAGUCCCCGAGAGCAGUUUUGCUCCAGUGCAGGUUUUGCACUAUUUGCUCUCGUGGACUCGUUUCCAAUGCACUUUUGGUGAUUUUAAUAUCUUUGGCUUUUCCAAAGCUCACCAACACGACCCUUGGUUGAUUCUGGAGGAAGUCUAACUCUCGUAUUUCGAUAAUUCACUUUCUUACAUCCUCCCCUCCUAAAAAGGAGUUUCGUCCUCGAAACGAAUUCAACAACUCAUACCUCAUUGUAUUUCCUUGAAAAGAUGAGGAUAAUGCACUUUCAUCGAUUCCUCGAGUUCCCAAGUGGCCUCACGAUUAUUGUGAUUGGUCAAACGAAUCUUCACGUAGGGAAUCUCGCGGUUCUUCAAUUUUCGCACUUCUCGAGCAAUGAUCAUCGCUAGGAACUCUUCAUAACUCAAAUCCUCCUGUAGAUCCGGCGGCUCAUAAUACAUAACAUGCUCGAGAUCAUGAACAUAUUUGCGAAGGUUGGAGACGUGGAACACAUCGUGCACCCCCGCGAGCUUCGGCGGUAAUGCAAGUCGGUACGCUACCGCUCCAAUACAUUCCAACACUUCGAACGGUCCGAUAUAUCGGGAACAUAGCUUUCCCCGCACUCCGAAGCGUUUCACACCUCUCAUCGGCGAAACCUUCAAGAAGACGCGGUCACCUACCGCGAAUUCCAAGUCUCUAUGGCGUUUGUCAGAAUAGCUCUUUUGCCUUGACUGUGCCGUAAGUAGCCUCUCGCGAGCAAGACGGACCUUCUCUUUCGCUUCUCGCAAUACAUCGGGGCCUAAUGCCACGGGCUCACCUACAUCGUUCCAACAUAUAGGGGAUCGGCACUUCUGUCCAUAUAGGACCUCGAACGGUGCCAUCCCAAUGCUAGCUUGAUAACUGUUAUUGUAGGCGAACUCGGCCGUCCUCAAAUGGUUUGCCCAACUACCCUUGUAGUCAAUAACACACGCCCGCAACAUAUCCUCCAGAAUCUGUAUAGUCCUCUCUGACUGUCCAUCUGUCUGAGGAUGAAACGCGGUGCUGAAAUCGAGCCGUGUGCCAAGUGCUUCCUGCAGGCUUUUCCAAAAGUGCGAAGUAAAAUGGGGGUCUCGAUCUGACACAAUCGACUUCGGAACCCCGUGCAACCUCACAACUUCAUCCAAGUACACUUGCGCUAACUUGUCGCCCGACCAGGUAGUGUGAAUCGGUAGAAAGUGUGCCGACUUGGUCAUACGAUCCACAAUCACCCAGAUCGCGUCGUGGCCACCCGUCGAACGGGGCUGUAAUAUACCGAAAAUUCGAAAAAUAAAUAUCGAACUUUAGUCAAAUUGACCAAAGUGCGAGGACGGUACAUUUCGGAAAGUCCGAAGGUGUUAAAAUGAUUAAAAGCGAGUUACGGGAGGUUUUCGAGAGCUAUAGGAUCAAAUUCUGCAAAACUGCAGAUUUUGAGCUCUCGGGGACCAGUCCCUGGUGGGAGAGACCAGUCCCCGAACGCGUAUGGAAUGAGACAGCCGAAAAAAAAUCGGCUAAGUCCUGAGAAACUAGCUCUCGGGAACCGGUCCCUGCCCGAGAGACCGGUCCCCGAGAGACCGGUCCCCCAAAGAGAGACCAGUUGCCCUGCGCGCAGCAGCUCUGGCUGCGCGGGGAGAGCUUUCGGGAAUCGGUCCCUGAAGGAGAGACCGGUCCCCGCCUGCGCGAACUGCCCAGUUCGGGCAGUGUAUUAAAGUGAAAGUUGAGGGGUUUAUUAGCAAUUUUGCAACCCAAUGAGCUAUGUAUUGGGGUAAAUGAGGUAUUUCUCUCAUUCUCACCCUCUCAUCCCCUCUCAUCUCUCUUUCUCUCUCUAGAAGACAAGAAGGAGAAGAAGAAAAGAAGGAAAAGGAAGGAAAAGAAGAGGAAGAAAGUGGAGAAGAAGCUAUUGAAGUGAAGCAACUUCAUCUUCUUCCUCUCUAGAGCAAGAAAGGAGCAAGCUUAGAGGUAAGCCUUGCCCCUUCUCAUGUUAAAUUCCAAACUAGGGUUUGGAUUAGAACAAGAUGGUUUUAUAGAACCUUUAGAGCAUUUGAAGCUUUUCUUUUGCUUCUUUAGAGAUCAAAACCAAGAAAUGGGGGUAAUGAGUAAAGCUUGAAGGUGAGCUUGACCCCUCUCAUGGUAGAAUCCAAACUAGGGAUUGAAUUAAAGAUGGUUUAUAUGGACUUUAUAGAGUAUAAUGAAGCUACUUUUGCUUCUCUUUGAGAUCAAACCCUAGGUUUGAUAUAUGUAUUGGAGCUAGGGCACCAAAUUGGGACUUUUGCUCAUGGGGAUUUCUAAGUGCAAUUGACCCUCUAGAAACCUAAUUGGGGAUAUUUUCGACGCGUUGGUGCGCUCGGAUAUACGUUACGAAAAGCUGAUGUAAAGAUAUGGGCAAAAUGGCCUAAGUUGGCUUCGUUUUGCCGCAGGUAAAGAACGAGGAGCUUAUAAAUCUCAAGAAAAUUGUCGGAGCACCUAAAUAGACCUACGAGGUGGGUAGUGCUUCUCAAACUCAUUGAACUUCCCUCUAUGCCUAAUGUGUCAUUCAUUUGAGCAUGUAUAUAUGUUGUUGCAUGCAUUUUAGGGUAAAGUAAUGAUGAAAAUGUAAUGUUGCAUGAUUGUGAGUACAACUUGCAUAAUAUGAUGAAUGAGAACUAUAUAAAAGUCGAAAACCCUAUGUAUAUGCAUGAGAGAAAAGUGAGCACCCAAAGUGAGCAAAAGAACAGAGUGACACAAUGACAUAGAUCGAGUGGCAUUUAAAAAUGUAAAGUAAAGAGACACUAGAGUUAGUGUGAUGCAAAGAACUAACGUGAUGUAAAGAAUGAUGAAAAUGACCAUGAGUAAGAUUAAAGUAAAGUGGGGCAAUAAGAACAAGAAUUGUAACGAAUAAGAAUGCUAGAGUUAGCAAGAGUAGAGAAAUGUAAAGAAUGUAAUUGCAUGAGUUUGCAACAAAAAGUGAUGAAAGAACACUAGAGCUAGUGUAAAGUCAAGAUUGAACUUAUAAAUCCUUUGAGUUAAGGAUAUGAUCAUACUUGCUAUGAGUUCCGUGCUUGAGGGCGGUCGCUCCCCCUCGGGCGAUGCGCUCCGGAGUUAUGUAUCACGGGUUGGAGUAAACCCGAAGGACGGUCCUAGCGGGUGAGUUCCUGCGAUGAUGGACUUAAUGUGAAGCAAGUUAAUGUGGCGAAACCCCCGGGUUAGCCUUGAGAUUAAAGAGUAAAGAACAAAGAGCAAAGAACAAAGUGUAAAGUGUAAAGUGUAAAGAACGAAAGAACUUGCAUAAUCUGCAUAUGUUUAAUGUUGAGCAUACUCCUUGCUUUAUUGUUCAGGCAUAUUAGCAUCAUGUAUAGAUUGGUUACUAUAUGCAGCUUAUUCUUUCUAUUAUGCCUGAGUUAGUCCUAGUGGGAAAGUCGGUGAUGUUGAGGCCGAACCCACUGGGAACUUUGUUGUAGUUCUCACCCCACUAUUUUCACAGAGCCGGGACCGAGCGAGCCGGCGAGCGACCAAGGUAAAGGUAUCGCGCCUUAAACAGAGGCCACCAGAGUUGAGUUGGGUUUACAUUUUGAUAGUGGCUACCNAGAGUUGAGUUGGGUUUACAUUUUGUUAGUAGCUACCCUAUGUUCAUCUUUUGUAUUCGAUGACUAGUGAUGUAAAGAAAAGAAUGUAAAGCUUAUUUUGAGGUGAAUGUGAUGUAAAAAGAAAUGAUGCAAUGUGUAAUGAAGUACAAGAAUCGUGAAUGUAAUGAAUGUUUAGUUUUCCUUUCUUUCACUAAUGGCUAUUGCUUACCCUCGUGUAAGCCGUUUGUGUAUGUUUCCGCUAGUGCUUUUCUCUAAUGAUGAAAAUGUACAUGUGAUGAGCCUUGGGCGGACAGGGAAAACUCUGUUCGUUCGGCGUCUGUUUGACGUGCUCGAGUCGGGCCAAAUUGGUAUCGGUCCCGGGGCGUGACAGGGGCACUCCGACCACGAAGUCCAUAGCAAUAUUCUCCCAUUUCCAAACUGAAAUAGGUAGACUUUGGAGCUUUCCCGCUGGAAAUCGACGCUCAGCCUUCACUUGCUGGCAUACAAGGCACUGCGCUACAUAGCGCCCAAUGUCUGCUUUCAUGCCCGGCCACCAGUACUGCAUCUUCAGAUCACGGUACAUCUUGGUGCCGCCCGGGUGAAUGCUAUAAGGAGUCCAAUAUGCCUCUUGCAAUAUUAACUUUCGGACCUCCUCGUUCUCCGGUACGCACCAUCGGUUUCGAAACCGAAGCGCACCCUCAGCGUCUACACUGAAAUCACCGUCGUGUCCACUCUCGAUGUCUCACUGCACCUUUUGGAGUUGGGGUCUGCAAGUUGCGAACUCUUAAUCUGCUCCAACAAGGUCGGUUGGACAACGAGAGCUGUAAGCAUAGACGGGAUUUUUCGAGCUACCACCUCGAGAUUCAAUCACUCCAUCUCUCUCCACAGAGGCUCCUGACGUGUGACCAACAUAGCAAGAUUUUUCACUGACUUCCUGCUAAGCGCGUUGACCACCACGUUUGCUUUUCCGGGGUGGUAUAGGAUCGUCACAUCGAAAUCCUUCAGCAGUUCCAACCACCGCCGCUGUCGCAUAUUGAGCUCCUUUUGUGUGAAUAGGUACUUUAGACUCUUGUGGUCCGUGUAUAUCUCGCAAUGCGCGCCAUACAAGUAGUGCCUCCACAACUUGAGAGCAAACACUACCGCGGUCAACUCUAAGUCGUGAACAGGGUAGUUCUUCUCGUAGCUCUUCAGCUGACGGGAAGGGUAAGCGAUCACCUUCGCGCCCUGCAUCAGAACACACCCUAAACCCGAUUGUGACGCGUCGCUAUACACCACGAAGUCUUCAUCUUGCACCGGUAAGGCGAGCACCGGAGUCGAAGUUAAUCUAUCCUUCAACUCUUGAAAACUCCGGUCGCACUCGUCACUCCAAAUGAACUUGGUGCCUUUCCGAGUCAGACGGGUAAGUGGACCCACGAUCUUCGAGAAUCCCUCCACGAACCGUCUAUAAUAACCCGCUAAACCCACGAAGCUUCAAACUUCCGUGACGUUAGUCGGGCGAGACCAAUCCUUGAUUGCCUCUACUUUUCUCGGGUCAACGGAUACUCCACCCUCGGAAAUGACAUGCCCAAGAAAUGCAACCUCUCGGAACCAAAAGUCGCAUUUCUUAAACUUAGCAUAUAGCUUCUCCUCCUGAAGGACUUGAAGCACUAUUCUCAGAUGCUCGACAUGUUCCUCGUCGCUACGAGAAUAGACCAAGAUGUCGUCUAUGAAGACCACGACAAAUCGGUCCAAGUACUCCUUGAAGACACGGUUCAUUAAAUCCAUGAACGCUGCCAGAGCAUUAGUGAGCCCAAACAGCACGACCGUGAAUUCAUAGUGUCCAUACCGCAUACGAAACGCGGUCUUUUGCACAUCUUCUGGCUUGAUCUUAAGUUGAUGAUAACUGGACUGUAGAUCAAUCUUUGAAUAAACCCGAGAUCCUUGCAACUGAUCAAAUAAAUCAUCGAUCCUGGGCAACGGGUACUUAUUCUUGAUCGUGACCUUAUUCGACUCGCGGUAGUCUAUGCAGAGUCGAAAUAAUCCGUCCUUCUUUCGCACGAAUAGGACCGGGGCUCCCCACGGCGAUACACUUGGCCGUAUAAAUCCCUUACCAAGGAGAUCUAUCAAUUGAGCCCGUAACUCCUUCGAUUCUGCCGGCGCCAUCCGAUACGGAGCCUUCGAGAUAGGCGUGGUUCCUGGAACCAAGUCUAUCACGAACUCGAUCUUCCGGUCUGGCGGCAUUCCCGGUAACUCCGCGGGAAAUACAUCUGGAAAUUCCCAAACCACGGACAGCUCCUCAAGCGUAGGAGAGUCCUCUCUACUUCUACAAUGGUUGCCAAGUAGGCCGUACAUCCGCUGUUAACUAGCUUCCUUGCUCUCGUCGCUGAUACCGUGGCGGCAAAGUACGAGCUUCUACAAGCCCGAUAGACAAACUCUUCCUGACCUGGUUCGCGAAACGUAAUCACUUUACUUCUGCAGUGAAUAGUCGCAUAGUACUUCAAGAGCCAAUCCAUUCCUAGAAUGACAUCGAAGUCUUUCAACUUCUUGAACACCAACAUACGGAUGGGCAUUAUCCAAUCGCCCAACCGCACCGGACAAGAUGAACACUCCAUACGGACUAGAAAAUCACGUCUGGGGCCCGAUACCCUCCAAGUGCUUUUACUCUCUUGUAGUUCUAUGUCAUGCAUGCAUGCGAAUGACCUACUAAUGAAUGAAUGCGUUGCACCUGUAUCAAACAUGGCCCUGCAGCGAACUUCGUUAAUUGAAAUCAUACCUGCGAGUACAUGGCGGUCCUCCGCCUUAGUAGGUUCCUCAGCUUGAGUUUGGGCGACGAACACCCGCCCGCUCGGAGCUGAUCUCGUCGCCUCAGAUUAGCGUGGUACCAUCGCACGUCCAGCUGAUGACGUAGCAGGUGGGAGUCCUCCAUAUACGCCGGAGUUACCGGAGUCGAUGCAACCGAAGGGACAGGCGAAGCCCUCACUGGGCAGUAGCGGCUUAUAUGGCCCGCCCGUCCACAUCUGAAGCACUUCCCCUCCCGUUGAUCACACGUCCUUAGCUCGUGGUUCCCACCACAGAUUAUGCACCGCUACGGUCCGCGGCCCUUGGAUUGCGUUCGCGGUUACUUUGGGGGCUUCUUUGACUUGGUUUGAGCUCCCGAGCUACUCUGAUCCCGCUUCUUGCCACCGUCCUUCUCGGACGCUUCUCACUCCUGCCGUAUGUGAGCAUUUCCCUGCUCCGCCCACAAUGCUCUGUCGAGCACCUCCGCGAAGGUAGUGAGCUUCAGAAUGUGCACCGCCUGGUAGAUAUCAGCCCGAAGCCCUCGCUCGAACCAAUCGGCUCGAUCCCUGUCAUCCCGCACUACGUCGGGGACGCAGUCAAUGAUGUGAGAGAACUCUCGCUCAUAUUCCGCUACCGUGCGGCUACCUUGCUUCAACUUUCGAAAUUGCUCUUAGAGCUUCUUCUUCUCGCUAUCGGGGAAGUAGUUGACGCAGAACAAUCCCCGAAACUCCUCCCACGUUAGCGGCAGAAGGUCGGAAGCUCGAUUUCUCUUGAUUCGCUUCCACCAAACCUUCGCCGUUCGCUCCAAACAAUGAGUAGCAAGGUAGACCUUGUCCCUCUCCAACGUGUAAAGGUCCUCGAACAAGGUGUCCAUUAAGUCCACCCACGACUCAACCAUCCACGGUUCGACUUUCUCUCCCUCGAAGGUUAGUGGAUUAAACCUUCGGAACUUCUCAAGAGCCGCAAGUGCCCGUUCCCUCUCCGCCUCCAAUGACGUCGCAUUGGGUGCCGUAGAACCCGACGCCGCUGGAGGAACGCUCACCGGUGGAGGACGUGCCGCCACCGGAACUGCCGCAAUGCCCUCACCCUCAGCCGCCGUAGGCGCACGUGCUGGAGGCGGGGGCGGAUCACGGCCCUCAGUCGCAGCUGCAGUUGCCGCCGCAAAAUGCAGCUCCAUUAGCCCUUGGAGCUGCUCGAAUCGACUCUCCUGGCGCUGUACAAUGCCGGUCAAUGCCAACACCUGCGCCCGUAAUUCCUGUACUUCACUAGAUCCGGCUUCCUCGGGCACCUUAGGAGAUGGUGCCGGAACGGACCUACGCACGUAGCGUCAUGGGGACAUUGUUCCUGCAACGCAACAACCGGGUUAGUCAUCUAACCCACUUAACUCCGUCGCACACACUAUUACGCGACUCAAAUCCGCCAUAAGCGGACGUACACCAUGGUAUUAGUCCUAACUCUUAGCGUCGUGUUGUCGGCCGCCAACACAAACUGCUCGAGCUCGGAACUAACACCGAUCGGAUCUAUCUCUAGCCACACUAGAUAUCUAUACUCGAUCCGACCUAAUCGGAUUCUUCCUCAACAGAUAUAGAUUUACGUUUUUCUCACGUACUUAUCACCUUAGGGUUGCCAACCUAGGUCUCCUAGGUCCAUCCUUGAUGCUCUCUUUACUUGCUCUUAAGGGCUCUGAUACCAACAACUCUUGUCACGCCCCGCCCCGAAUCCACUACCAAUUUGGCACGGUUCGGGCGCGCCGGACGGACCGCCGAAUGGACAGCACCUCUUCUGUCUGCCCAAGGCCAAGCAACCAGAUCAUGUACAGUUAAGCGCCCAGAGAAUGCUUAAAUAACAUACAUGAUCGAUACGAUGCAUACAAGUGCACUAUAACUAAGAGCAAGAACCACAAGUGAAUGUACAAGUGUAUAAAGAGAGAUAGUCUAACUAUUACAACCAUUCAACAUUUACAUUAUUUGAAUAUAUUACAUUUCCAUCUUCCAAAAUGUAAAUACAUGUUUUCCUCCAAAUACAAGUAGCUCUCCAAUAACUAUCCAAAACAUCAUCUAGUACACGAGAGUACUCUAAUGCAUAAAGGAAAAGCUACUAACUAGGCUCACUUAGGGCGCUAUGCCCUUGCCGCGGUCCUCGCUCGGCUCGCCUCUAUGUGUACCUGUACCUCAAAACAACAUGGGGUGAGAACUAUAUAAAUACAGUUCCCAGUGGGUUCGGCCGCCGACGCCGCCGGUUUUCCCACUAGGUCUAAGCUGGCAAUGAUAGAGAGAUAGAUAGAUAUAUAUAAAUGAACUGCAACUACUCUAUCAUGCCAUCAAUGAUGAUAAUGCAUGCAACAACUACUAUCAUGCUAGAAUCAUGUCAUGAGUAUAUAAAAGUACAUAGCAAUGCAAUCUACAACAUAUACUAUGUCUACUUGAGGUAAUAAUGCAAGUUUACUAUGCAUCUCAUGUUUAUUAUCCAAUCUACUUGGUUAACCCGUAGGUUAAACCCGCGACUCACUCUCAAUCUCAUAGGUGAGGAGAAGCUGCACUCGCACACCGAGACCGUCUGCGGGACAACCUUGUGAGAUACUCCGGAGACUUGUGCUUCGGUGGAGCAACCACCGACAAGCGAAACAAACUAGUGAGUAUGAUCCAAUCCUCUCAAAAGGAUACCCUGUCUACUAGGGUCAAUGUGCCUCUGCUGUACAAUCAUGAUAUAUAAUCAAUAUUGGGACCUCUACUAUCCCUAGGUUCAUGUCAAGUUUACUACACUAGACUCGAUGCCACUCGUUCAGUCACUGUAGUAAAUGUCUCAAUUAUUCUACAUGCCACUCCUUCAUGUCAUAAUGCUUCUACCACACUAGUUCAAUGCCACUCUACUAGGCUAUGUCCAAGUUCGACUCUUUAUGCCGCUAUAGGAUUCUAUGUCACAAGACCCAAUCCUCAUGUUAUCCUAGUAAACGUGUCAAGCGCACCCC
rnacentral:lncRNA from 1 species